UAGUCCACGCCGUAAACGAUGGUCACUAGCUGUCGGGACCGAUUGAGGUCUCGGCGGCCAAGCGAAAGUGAUAAGUGACCCACCUGGGGAGUACGUCCGCAAGGAUGAAACUCAAAGGAAUUGACGGGGGCCCGCACAAGCGGUGGAGCAUGUGGUUUAAUUCGAUGAUACGCGAGGAACCUUACCAGGGCUUAAAUACGGUACGACGGUCCCAGAGACGGGAUUUUCUUCGGACGUACCGCAAGGUGCUGCAUGGUUGUCGUCAGCUCGUGCCGUGAGGUGUCAGGUUAAGUCCUAUAACGAGCGCAACCCCUGCCGCUAGUUGCCAGCAUGUAAUGAUGGGGACUCUAGCGGGACUGCCGGUGCAAACCGCGAGGAAGGUGGGGACGACGUCAAAUCAUCACGGCCCUUACGUCCUGGGCCACACACGUGCUACAAUGGCCGGUACAGAGGGCAGCCACCACGCGAGUGGGAGCGAAUCCUCAAAGCCGGUCACAGUUCGGAUCGCAGUCUG
rnacentral:rRNA from 1 species